GUAAGCUUAGCAGUUAAGCUUCACCAGGUAGCCAUUGCUAUGCGUCAGGCGCUCCGUCCGUAUUUAUACGGGUACCCUUCCUUUUUCACGUGCUUCGUCUGAUUUGAAUCGAUUGCUUAUUUUGCUUUGAUCUGGACUAGUCUGCAUCCUGACUCAAACAAAAUGACAGAUCAUUAACAUAAAGCUGCAGGAACAGAAGCAAGACCAUGAUCGAACUUUGUGGGACUCCCACUGUAAUGCAGAUGAUGUUACAUCCCUCUCUGUACUACUCAGACAGCUUAAGGAUCCUGAACGACAAUGAAAAAAGAAGCUUGUGGAUCAAACCAUUACAACGAAAAUAUUGCAAAACCAUUUGUAUAUAGCAGAAUAUUUUCUGAUCAUUUUUGUGAAGUCGACAUUGAUCGAACACCAUUGUCAUGCUUUCAUAUCAGAGAACGGUGCAGUGCCAUGCAUUUUCUCAUCAUUUCUGUCAUACAUGCAGAAUAUGAGAGCAGCUGUGUUCGCUGAACCAAUAUGCCAGGAUUAUGCUGUUUGAUUUCUUUCUCAAACUGAAGGUUUGCUUCAAUCUUUA